CACCUUGCUUCUGUGACAACACACGGCAGCCUGACUCACAUAUGAUCACGCCUCAUCUGAAGACGUUCAUCGGAGUUUAGUGUUGCUCCAGACUUUAUGAGUCACCAUACAGGCACUGUUACAAGUCCAUUCAACGAUGGGUUCUACAAAUGAGAGGGUGAAACUUCUAGAAACUUCUACUUCCCUUUUUGUAGUUGUCUCUGUUCUCGGCCUGACCC